rnacentral:rRNA from 1 species
GACGAACGCUGGCGGCGUGCUUAACACAUGCAAGUCGAACGGAAAGGCCCUGCUUUUGUGGGGUGCUCGAGUGGCGAACGGGUGAGUAACACGUGAGUAACCUGCCCUUGACUUUGGGAUAACUUCAGGAAACUGGGGCUAAUACCGGAUAGGAGCUCCUGCUGCAUGGUGGGGGUUGGAAAGUUUCGGCGGUUGGGGAUGGACUCGCGGCUUAUCAGCUUGUUGGUGGGGUAGUGGCUUACCAAGGCUUUGACGGGUAGCCGGCCUGAGAGGGCGACCGGCCACAUUGGGACUGAGAUACGGCCCAGACUCCUACGGGAGGCAGCAGUGGGGAAUAUUGCACAAUGGGCGGAAGCCUGAUGCAGCAACGCCGCGUGCGGGAUGACGGCCUUCGGGUUGUAAACCGCUUUCGCCUGUGACGAAGCGUGAGUGACGGUAAUGGGUAAAGAAGCACCAGCUGACUACGUG